AGAGUUUGAUCAUGGCUCAGGACGAACGCUGGCGGCGUGCCUAAUACAUGCAAGUAGAACGCUGAAGAGAGGAGCUUGCUCUUCUUGGAUGAGUUGCGAACGGGUGAGUAACGCGUAGGUAACCUGCCUUGUAGCGGGGGAUAACUAUUGGAAACGAUAGCUAAUACCGCAUAACAAUGGAUGACACAUGUCAUUUAUUUGAAAGGGGCAAUUGUUCCACUACAAGAUGGACCUGCGUUGUAUUAGCUAGUAGGUGAGGUAAUGGCUCACCUAGGCGACGAUACAUAGCCGACCUGAGAGGGUGAUCGGCCACACUGGGACUGAGACACGGCCCAGACUCCUACGGGAGGCAGCAGUAGGGAAUCUUCGGCAAUGGGGGCAACCCUGACCGAGCAACGCCGCGUGAGUGAAGAAGGUUUUCGGAUCGUAAAGCUCUGUUGUAAGUCAAGAACGGGUGUGAGAGUGGAAAGUUCACACUGUGACGGUAGCUUACCAGAAAGGGACGGCUAACUACGUGCCAGCGGCCGCGGUAAUACGUAGGUCCCGAGCGUUGUCCGGAUUUAUUGGGCGUAAAGCGAGCGCAGGCGGUUUGAUAAGUCUGAAGUUAAAGGCUGUGGCUCAACCAUAGUUCGCUUUGGAAACUGUCAAACUUGAGUGCAGAAGGGGAGAGUGGAAUUCCAUGUGUAGCGGUGAAAUGCGUAGAUAUAUGGAGGAACACCGGUGGCGAAAGCGGCUCUCUGGUCUGUAACUGACGCUGAGGCUCGAAAGCGUGGGGAGCGAACAGGAUUAGAUACCCUGGUAGUCCACGCCGUAAACGAUGAGUGCUAGGUGUUGGAUCCUUUCCGGGAUUCAGUGCCGCAGCUAACGCAUUAAGCACUCCGCCUGGGGAGUACGACCGCAAGGUUGAAACUCAAAGGAAUUGACGGGGGCCCGCACAAGCGGUGGAGCAUGUGGUUUAAUUCGAAGCAACGCGAAGAACCUUACCAGGUCUUGACAUCCCGAUGCUAUUUCUAGAGAUAGAAAGUUACUUCGGUACAUCGGUGACAGGUGGUGCAUGGUUGUCGUCAGCUCGUGUCGUGAGAUGUUGGGUUAAGUCCCGCAACGAGCGCAACCCCUAUUGUUAGUUGCCAUCAUUCAGUUGGGCACUCUAGCGAGACUGCCGGUAAUAAACCGGAGGAAGGUGGGGAUGACGUCAAAUCAUCAUGCCCCUUAUGACCUGGGCUACACACGUGCUACAAUGGUUGGUACAACGAGUUGCGAGUCGGUGACGGCGAGCUAAUCUCUUAAAGCCAAUCUCAGUUCGGAUUGUAGGCUGCAACUCGCCUACAUGAAGUCGGAAUCGCUAGUAAUCGCGGAUCAGCACGCCGCGGUGAAUACGUUCCCGGGCCUUGUACACACCGCCCGUCACACCACGAGAGUUUGUAACACCCGAAGUCGGUGAGGUAACCUUUUGGAGCCAGCCGCCUAAGGUGGGACAGAUGAUUGGGGUGAAGUCGUAACAAGGUA
rnacentral:rRNA from 1 species